GAUGAAGAACGUAGCGAAAUGCGAUAAUUAAUGUGAAUUGCAGAAUUUAGUGAAUCAUCGAAUCUUUGAACGCACAUUGCGCCCCCUGGUAUUCCGGGGGGCAUGCCUGUCCGAGCGUCAUUACAACCCUCAAGCUCAGCUUGGUGUUGGGCCCCGCCGCCCCGGCGGGCCCUAAAGUCAGUGGCGGUGCCGUCCGGCUCCGAGCGUAGUAAUUCUUCUCGCUCUGGAGGUCCGGUCGUGUGCUCGCCAGCAACCCCCAAUUUUUUUCAGGUUGACCUCGGAUCAGGUAGGGAUACCCGCUGAACUUAAGCAUAUCAAUACGCGGAGGA
rnacentral:misc_RNA from 1 species